AACUCUGGUAUUGAUUGGUGCUUGCAUCAUGAUUUACAUUUGAGUGAGUGGCGAACUGGUGAGUAACACGUGGGAAACCUGCCCAGAAGCGGGGGAUAACACCUGGAAACAGAUGCUAAUACCGCAUAACAACUUGGACCGCAUGGUCCGAGCUUGAAAGAUGGCUUCGGCUAUCACUUUUGGAUGGUCCCGCGGCGUAUUAGCUAGAUGGUGGGGUAACGGCUCACCAUGGCAAUGAUACGUAGCCGACCUGAGAGGGUAAUCGGCCACAUUGGGACUGAGACACGGCCCAAACUCCUACGGGAGGCAGCAGUAGGGAAUCUUCCACAAUGGACGAAAGUCUGAUGGAGCAACGCCGCGUGAGUGAAGAAGGGUUUCGGCUCGUAAAACUCUGUUGUUAAAGAAGAACAUAUCUGAGAGUAACUGUUCAGGUAUUGACGGUAUUUAACCAGAAAGCCACGGCUAACUACGUGCCAGCAGCCGCGGUAAUACGUAGGUGGCAAGCGUUGUCCGGAUUUAUUGGGCGUAAAGCGAGCGCAGGCGGUUUUUUAAGUCUGAUGUGAAAGCCUUCGGCUCAACCGAAGAAGUGCAUCGGAAACUGGGAAACUUGAGUGCAGAAGAGGACAGUGGAACUCCAUGUGUAGCGGUGAAAUGCGUAGAUAUAUGGAAGAACACCAGUGGCGAAGGCGGCUGUCUGGUCUGUAACUGACGCUGAGGCUCGAAAGUAUGGGUAGCAAACAGGAUUAGAUACCCUGGUAGUCCAUACCGUAAACGAUGAAUGCUAAGUGUUGGAGGGUUUCCGCCCUUCAGUGCUGCAGCUAACGCAUUAAGCAUUCCGCCUGGGGAGUACGGCCGCAAGGCUGAAACUCAAAGGAAUUGACGGGGGCCCGCACAAGCGGUGGAGCAUGUGGUUUAAUUCGAAGCUACGCGAAGAACCUUACCAGGUCUUGACAUACUAUGCAAAUCUAAGAGAUUAGACGUUCCCUUCGGGGACAUGGAUACAGGUGGUGCAUGGUUGUCGUCAGCUCGUGUCGUGAGAUGUUGGGUUAAGUCCCGCAACGAGCGCAACCCUUAUUAUCAGUUGCCAGCAUUAAGUUGGGCACUCUGGUGAGACUGCCGGUGACAAACCGGAGGAAGGUGGGGAUGACGUCAAAUCAUCAUGCCCCUUAUGACCUGGGCUACACACGUGCUACAAUGGAUGGUACAACGAGUUGCGAACUCGCGAGAGUAAGCUAAUCUCUUAAAGCCAUUCUCAGUUCGGAUUGUAGGCUGCAACUCGCCUACAUGAAGUCGGAAUCGCUAGUAAUCGCGGAUCAGCAUGCCGCGGUGAAUACGUUCCCGGGCCUUGUACACACCGCCCGUCACACCAUGAGAGUUUGUAACACCCAAAGUCGGUGGGGUAACCU
rnacentral:rRNA from 2 species